AGUGCCGCAUUGAGCCGUGCUGCUUGUCGCUGGAUGUCAGGGUCUGGGUGGGUCUGUGCCAGGGACUCGGAGCGUGCCACCAGCCUGUCCCGCACACCAAUGCCGAACAUCCUGGCGUACCUGAGGGGAGGGACGGCGGGAUGUGAUCGGAAGUGUCGCUGUCCUCCGCAGAAGUCCCUGGCCAUUGUAAAAUCAGAUGGCACCAAAAGUAAUUACAUUGUACAGUUAAGAUAAGGCUUGUUCUAUGGAUGUCUCACAGAUCUUAGGGCCAGUUUCACAGUUCCCCAUGAUGGGUUAGUAAGCUCCCAAACCAAUACCAGAGCCUUCGAAAUUUCCUUGUAUAGUGUCUGGUGUUUAUAUUUCAGUUCACAAAUUUGAUGAAACUAUACAGGAAAAGUCUUGUGUAUUUAGUGUGGGAUUGAAGACCUCACCAUUUUGGAUUGUAUGGGAUUCUAUAGUUUGGUUCGGGCUGUUACGAAGACACUGUGUUGGACUGUGAAAUCGGCUCUUAGUCAGGCUUUUGUAAAUACAGAAUGUUCACUCUCAUUACUGUAACUUAUUAUUUAUUUAUUUAUUAUUUUUCAUUCCUUUCUAGCGAUUAAUCAGAUUCCUUUUAUGUUACUCAAGUCCAUGUUUGUUUAGUGAUGUGAGGUGCUGUACAAAACACUAGUUAACAUACUGCAUCAGAUUGUUGUAUCAUUAUAAACUGUUGUAUGGAUGUAUCAGAGAUCAUAGUCAGACUUUUGUAAAUACAGUUAACAUUAAUACUGCAUCAGAUUGUUGUAUCAUUAUAAACUGUUCUAUGGAUGUAUUAGACCAGAGUCAGACUUUUGUAAAUACAGUUAACAUUAAUACUGCAUCAGAUUGUUGUAUCAUUAUAAACUGUUGUAUGGAUGUAUCAGAGAUCAUAGACUUUUGUAAAUACAGUUAACAUUAAUACUGCAUCAGAUUGUUGUAUCAUUAUAAACUGUUCUAUGGAUGUAUCAGAGAUCAUAGUCAGACUUUUGUAAAUACAGUUAACAUUAAUACUGCAUCAGAUUGUUGUAUCAUUAUAAAUUGUUCUAUGGAUGUAUCAGAGAUCAUAGACUUUUGUAAAUACAGUUAACAUUAAUACUGCAUCAGAUUGUUGUAUCAUUAUAAAUUGUUCUAUGGAUGUAUCAGUGACCUUACAAUGAACUUUAAAAAAAUAUAAAAUGUUCACUAUUAAUGCAUUUUCUUCUUACUCCUUUGAGGCGAUCGAUCAAACUCUUUUUAAACAGCGGAGAAGGUGAUAUUUAUGUUACUUGAGUUAAGGUUUGUUUUGUGACUUGUGGUGCCGUACAAAACACUACACAUGGCCGGAUAUGAAGCUAAAGUGAAGCGAUGGACACUAACUAUGAGGCUCAGAGCUAUAUAUGAAGAUACUAACUUAUACACACUAAAGGCUAACAGGGUAAAGGCUACACUAUAUAUGCUGGAAAUAACGCUGCAUACUAACUAGAUUCAUAUAUGUACAGUAAAGUUACUAGUAGAAGCAUAACCGGUCCUUUGUAUAUAUAUUCAAGAGGUAAAGUAAUGCAGAAAAUAUAGAUAAAUUGAAUUAUACGAAGAAAGUGACUUUUUUAAGGGAAACUAAUCUGGAAAUGGUAAAUAACAUGACAUAAUAACUAGAUAUAGGAAGUAUAACCAAUCCUUAAGAUAUAUUCAAAAGGUAAACUAAUGCAGGAAAUAUAGAUAAAUUGAAUUAUACGAAGAAAGUGACUUUUUUAAGGGAAACUAAGCUGGAAAUGGUAAAUAAUAUGACAUAACUAGAUAUAGGAAGCAUUACGAAUCCUUUAUAUAUAUUCAAGAGGUAAACUAAUGCAGAAAAUAUAGAUAAAUUGAAUUAUAUGAAGAAAGAGUGACUUUUUUAAGGGAAACUAAUCUGAAAAUGGUAAAUAACAUGACAUAAUAACUAGAUAUAGGAAGCAUAACCAGUCCUUUAUAUAUAUUCAAGAGGUAAAGUAAUGCAGAAAAUAUAGAUAAAUUGAAUUAUAUGAAGAAAGAGUGACUUUUUUAAGGGAAACUAAGCUGAAAAUCGUAAAUAACAUUGCAUACUAAAUUUAUAUAUAUGGAAUAGUUUAUAAUCCAUGAAUUCCCUUUCCCUCCCU